ensembl:lncRNA
CCUUCCCAGUGAGCAAUCGAUGACGGCCCGCCAGUGUUUUGCUGCUGGCGGGACGCUGGAGGCUAUAAUGUCCUACGGGCCACCAGCUAUUGCCGCUUUUCUCCUGAUCUCAAUUUGCAUGAGCUAAUUUGCAUCUCUGGCAGCUUUCCACUUGCAGCCUGACUGCUUUAUGCUGGCGGCUAGCAGCCGAAGAGAGGGCGUGUGCUGUGAUCUGCUGUAUCUGCUUGUGUUGCCAUUUUCUUCCAGCAGAGAUGCUAUUGUACCCCUUUUAUUCUUGUACUGAUUAUUUGUAUUGACCAUAUUUUAAUAUUGUUAAAUCUUAGUGUACAGAAUUUUGGUCAACAUUGGUACUAUAUAAAUAAAAUAGUCUUAGACUUUUGCACUAUUGCUUGUGUAAAGGACCUUUGUGUAGACAUGUACAGUAAACACAUAGAAACAGUCGUCUCUCGCCGUUGCUUACCACAAAUGUUUUCCCGAACUAAUGGCCCUUUUCCACUGCAUGGUACCAACUCAACUACUCACCAGUUGAACAGUUUUGUUCCCGGGGGAGUAUGACUGUGUGACAGUAGUUCCAUGCCUGUGGCUCAAAGGAGGACUUUGCUACUGCCAGCAUCACCAGCAGGAAGUCCUUCAGCCACGACAAGUUUGCCAGAACCUUUUCAUCACCUGAAGACACCUGGGAGGCUGUCCCUUAUAAGCUCAUCAAGCAUGCAGGUGAAUUUGAAAACGUAAUAACAAUUUGAAACUUGUUAUUACUUACAAAAUCUUAACUUUUCCUAGAUACGUGAGAGACCGGACGUGUGUAUCGCCAGAGGAGCUCAAAAAUGUCCAGUGUGGGCCCCUACCACCCCAAGGAUGCACAUCUACACCACAGCACCCUGUGGAUUGCAGCCCUGGAGAACAUUCGGAGAACAUCAAGCAGCUGACUGAAGAGAAGGUACAAUCAGGAGCCAUAAGGAAGAAUCCUUCCAUCCGGGAUGCCUCCGACGAGGCUUUCCAGAACCAGGUCACCAAGUACCUGAAAGGGGCAGCUGACAGUGCUGGUGGGAGAAGACCAAUUUGAAUUUGAAUGACACAGCUCCAGCACAACCAAUAUUGCUGCUUGUCUACAGUACUCUUUUUAAACUGCUGCUAUAUAGUGUUAUGUAUAUGAUUGCAUUAUCCUCUUGAUAUAUUUAAAGCCGUAUAUAGACAGAGAUUCUUUAAUUUAAUUCAAUACAUUUG